rnacentral:rRNA from 1 species
UACGUAGGUGGCAAGCGUUGUCCGGAUUUAUUGGGUUUAAAGGGUGCGUAGGCGGCUUUGUAAGUCAGUGGUGAAAUAUGGCAGCUCAACUGUCAAGGUGCCAUUGAUACUGCAGAGCUUGAGUACAGAUGAGGUAGGCGGAAUUGACGGUGUAGCGGUGAAAUGCUUAGAUAUGACAUAGAACACCAAUUGCGAAGGCAGCUGGCUACACAAAUAUUGACACUGAGGCACGAAAGCGUGGGGAUCAAACAGG